CAGCCGCCGCGGUAAUACGUAGGGUGCAAGCGUUAAUCGGAAUUACUGGGCGUAAAGCGUGCGCAGGCGGUUAUAUAAGUCAGAUGUGAAAUCCCCGGGCUCAACCUGGGAACUGCACUUGAGACUGUAUGGCUAGAGUGUGUCAGAGGGGGGUAGAACUCCACGUGUAGCAGUGAAAUGCGUAGAUAUGCGGAGGAACACCGAUGGCGAAGGCAAUCCCCUGGGCCUGCACUGACGCUCAUGCACGAAAGCGUGGGGAGCAAACAGGAUUAGAUACCCCUGUAGUCCCUGUCUCUUAUAA
rnacentral:rRNA from 1 species